UCUAAUGUGAGGACCUGGGUCGGUGUUAACAGAGCUGGGUUCAUGGGCAAGUAGCACGAAGCCUUUUGAUGGAAACAACACUUCACCAUCUGCGGUCAGACAUAGUGAAAGCAUAACAUAAGGUGCAUACUAUUCGAUAAAUUGAUAAUAUGAAAACAAAGGAACCCAAGAUUGGGAAGUAGAGACGGAAAAGAAAUAUAAAAGUUAUUCCUAGAGUUCAAAAGGGGAUCACAUGUCUACUAUCUCGGGCUUUCCAGUCGCAGUUGUAUAUCACAUGCACUGGCAUAUUCUUAUGCUCGGUUUGGUGAUGACUCAUGCAAAGAACUAAAGAGUUUGAUUCAUUAGUUUUUAUUAUUAUUUCAUUAUGGUUUAGGCAAAAUGAAUCUAAGUCGCUAAAAAUGAGACAUUACCGAUUUAAUGUUAGAUUAUAUAAGAACUAAGAAGUACUGAGAUUAUCCCCUAUAUUACCAAAGUUUGGCAGUGUUGGAAAUAUCAAAUUACCGACUCAAGGGAAAGCUGUUGAACUAAACACGAUAUGUGAGAUUACCCGAUCCAAACGCCCCCUAUAGUAUCUUAUUUUCUAAGUUGGUUGACUAUCAGAACCACAUAAAUAUAACCAAAAGCAUCCAAGAGAGCAGAACUCUAGUAUCAUGUAAAUUUUCUUCCAUAGUGCACCUCAGCUUACUUCAAGUGCUUGAGGGCCAAAUCUAGGAAAAGGGUCAGCACAACUACUGUCUCAUUACAUUUUUCUGGUAUGACCAAGGUAUCCUCCAUGUCUGUUUUUCGGUCUAUGAAGACUAAUCCUUUCGGGGUUCAUCCCCCCCUCCCCCCAAAACAAAGAGUGCAAUGUGCCUUACCAAUGCAUUUAACACUUGCUAGUAACUCCCAAGUUAUUUUAAUAUUACAGUAUAACUACUUCCUUCCCACCUUUUGCACACCAUCACAUAAACCAAGCCAUAUAAAUAACAUAAAAUGAUCAAAUGAGAAAGAGGAACCUACCUUGGCCAGCAGGUGAGCUUUGCAUAUUAGGCGAAAUGUUAGGAGGUUCUACAAGGCCGUCAAGUGGCUCAGGAGCUCUAAAAUGUAAACCUAAAAGAAGGCUAUAAUCAAUUAUCUGUUGAGAUUUCAAGAAUGCAC
rnacentral:lncRNA from 1 species